rnacentral:rRNA from 1 species
AACGAACGCUGGCGGCAGGCCUAACACAUGCAAGUCGAACGAGAGCUUAGGAUGUGGUGGCGCACGGGGGCGUCGCGCGGGGGAAGCGGGCCGUAGGUACGGGAUACUUCUCCGAAGGGGGUGCUAAUGCAGGGUAAUGUCUGCGGACCAAAGAUAGUACGCCCUUGGUUGCGCCGGCGUUGGUUGAGCUUGUUGGGAGGGUAAAAGCCUACGAAGGCGACGAUCGAUAGCUGGUCUGAGAGGAUCAUCAGCCACUCUGGGACUGGGCCGCGGCCCAGACUCCUACGCGAGGCAGCAGUGGGGAAUAUUGGAAUAUGGGCGAAAGCAUGAUCCACCAAUGCCUCGUGAGUGAUGAAGGCCGGAGGGUUGUAAAGCUCUUUUACCCGGGAUGAUAAUGACAGUACCGGGAGAAUAAGCUCCGGCUAACUCCGUG